CCAUAUUUUAAUGCAUACUCUCGUUCAUCGUCUUAUUUAUAUUUUACAGUAGAAAAAUCAAUAGAUAUCGCUAAUGAACUAUUAUCGUUUCAGUUUCAAAACAACACUAAUGAUAUGGUAAAUUUCUUAACGACUUUGUAUUAUAUAAUCGAUAAAAAAAUACCGACAUUAAAUUCAUUAUGCAUAUAUAGUUCACCGUCCGCGGGAAAAAAAUUUUUUUUUGAUGCCGUUGCUUCUUAUUUUUUGAAUUACGGUAUGUUUGGUACGGCAAAUAAAAAUAAUAAUUUUACGUGGGCCGACGGGGCAGGGAAACGGUUAGUGAUUUGGAACGAACCAAAUUAUGAACAACAUCACAUCGCAAAAAUGAAAGAAUUAUUAGGAGGAGGAGAUACCACCAGAGUUCAUGUAAAAUAUAAAGGCGACCAACCGUUGCAAGGCCCACCGAUUAUAAUGCUCACCAAUAAUUAUUUAUCUAUAUGUAACGAUAGCCUUUUUGCUGAUCGAUUACGUACCUACCGGUGGGAAGCAGCACCGUUUCUUAAGGAUUAUACGAAAAAAUUAAAUCCAUUAUUUUUUUUUAUUUUAUUAGUGCAUUGGAAUAUUGUUCCAAAUAAUAUUGUAAUAUUAUAAUAUUUUUUUUUUUAUAAUUGUGUACACAUUAUAUAAAUUGGUUUUGUUUAAAUAAAAACACAUUAUUACGUAAAAUAUAUUAUUGUUAUUCUUUAUUAUACAUUUUUUAUUAUCAACAUAAUUAAAAAUUUAACGAUUACGCGUAGCGGCCGAACCGGACGACUACUGUUGUAG